rnacentral:rRNA from 1 species
ACGAACGCUGGCGGCGUGCUUAACACAUGCAAGUCGAACGGAAAGGCCCUGCUUGCAGGGUACUCGAGUGGCGAACGGGUGAGUAACACGUGGGUGAUCUGCCCUGCACUUCGGGAUAAGCUUGGGAAACUGGGUCUAAUACCGGAUAGGAGCCAUCUUUAGUGUGGUGGUUGGAAAGUUUUUUCAGUGUAGGAUGAGCUCGCGGCCUAUCAGCUUGUUGGUGGGGUAAUGGCCUACCAAGGCGGCGACGGGUAGCCGGCCUGAGAGGGUGUACGGCCACAUUGGGACUGAGAUACGGCCCAGACUCCUACGGGAGGCAGCAGUGGGGAAUAUUGCACAAUGGGCGCAGGCCUGAUGCAGCGACGCCGCGUGGGGGAUGAAGGCCUUCGGGUUGUAAACUCCUUUCGCUAGGGACGAAGCUUUUUUGUGACGGUACCUAGAUAAGAAGCACCGGCUAACUACGUG